CUCCUUAGGGACUUUGUUCAAGGCCUCGGGAUACUUCUCGUGGCUGGUUAGGAUCCAAAUAAAAUGGCCUCCUUCUAAGGGAUCUUUGGUAUUUGCUCCCCGAAUGGGCCUCUGGCCCCUUAAAAAAAAUUCACCUCCCGGGCCAGUCCCAGAUGCUUGACAUUCCUCUUUGGCAAAAGGAAUUCUCCUUUGGAGCCUGCACUUUUAAAUGCAAAUCACCUGGGGGUGGGGAGGGCUGGGGGUGCACUGUACUUGGUUUGCUCGGGGUGAGCAGUGACUUCUUGCACGAAUCUAACACAAAAUGAAAACUGUCUCCUUGCAGGCCUUCCUUCCUUGUACUGGGGACCGUGAGCACCGUACUCCGUGGUUGGAGAAUAAUUGCACUUGGUGCCACGUUUCCGGGUAUUUGCAAGGGGAUUGAAAAAUGCAAUGAUUUUAAGGUGCAACGAUUUCAAGGUGAAGUUCAAUUUUUGCAUCUACCGUCUCAGCUGCCGAACUAGGUACCAGGGAUACAAAGAGAAGGUUCCCCUGGACUAAGGUGCAGGGCAUCCGAGGCGCCCAGGGCGACUCUAGUGUAAAUAGGGAGUGCCAGGAGAGAAUCCUGCAGAGCUGCGCCAGGUCUUGGGGGCUGGGGAAGGGAGUCUGGGUAGGCUUCAUGGAAGAGGUGACCUGUAAGCUGAGGCCCUGAAAGAGAAGUGAGCCAGCCCUGGGGGAACAGGAUGGGGGAGCCUCCGGGAGCAGGAACUGGGUUAACAAAGACCCAGGGUGGAGGUGGGGGUGCCAUGCUCGUGGCGGCCAUGGCCCUGCCUGUGUUCUUCACGUCUGGCUCCCUUCCAGAAAGGCUGCCUCGGGAGGGUAGCUGGCUGACAGUUUCCAGAUCCCUCACUUUCAGGCUCCACCAUUGCAUAUUUAUUACAUAUUUUUUCUGGGUCUGUUCUCAACCAAUGACAGAGCACAGCAUUUGCACCGGAGCUGAACCGUUUUUCUUUCGGAUGUGGAAUUCCCUAAUGCAUCAUGUUUCCCCGGGAGGACUCCGUGGGCCUCAUCAGGACUUUUCGCAGAGCCCCGCGCUCCGAUCCAGGGCCCCUCCUCUUCCAUUCUUCCUUCAUUCUUCUUCCCCUUCCACAGGCGUCCGAAUGCGCCUGGCCUGCCCCCUCGGCCCCGAAUCCAUCGGAGGCAUUUCCCUGCAUAUAAAUUUCACAUGCAUUUAA
rnacentral:lncRNA from 1 species